rnacentral:rRNA from 1 species
GAUGAACGCUGGCGGCGUGCUUAACACAUGCAAGUCGAACGGAAAGGCUCCUGCUUGCAGGGGUACUCGAGUGGCGAACGGGUGAGUAACACGUGGGUGAUCUGCCCUGCACUUCGGGAUAAGCCUGGGAAACUGGGUCUAAUACCGGAUAGGACGAUGGUUUGGAUGCCAUUGUGGAAAGUUUUUCGGUGUGGGAUGAGCUCGCGGCCUAUCAGCUUGUUGGUGGGGUAAUGGCCUACGAAGGCGUCGACGGAUAGCCGGCCUGAGAGGGUGUACGGCCACAUUGGGACUGAGAUACGGCCCAGACUCCUACGGGAGGCAGCAGUGGGGAAUAUUGCACAAUGGGCGCAAGCCUGAUGCAGCGACGCCGCGUGGGGGAUGACGGCCUUCUGGUUGUAAACUCCUUUCGCUAGGGACGAAGCGCGAGUGACGGUGCCUGGAGAAGAAGCACCGGCUAACUACGUG